UACGAAGGGGGCUAGCGUUGCUCGGAAUCACUGGGCGUAAAGGGUGCGUAGGCGGUUGUUUAAGUUUGGUGUGAAAUCUCCCGGCUCAACUGGGAGGGUGCGCCGAAUACUGAAUGACUAGAGUGCGGGAGAGGAGAGUGGAAUUCCUGGUGUAGCGGUGAAAUGCGUAGAUAUCAGGAGGAACACCGGUGGUGUAGACGGCUCUCUGGACCGUAACUGACGCUGAGGCACGAAAGCGUGGGUAGCAAACAGG
rnacentral:rRNA from 1 species